GGGUAUUACUUGCUGGCCGAAUAUUAUUCUAGAGGAGAAGUCUUAUUUUCUGAGGCAAGUAGCUACUUUACUAACCCUCAAAUGCGUUAUGUUCCUUUGAUUAUCUGAUUGUAUUGUUGAACCUUGAUCUUUAUUGAUCCUCUCUUGAUCCUUGAGAGAGGGAUGUGUUGUCCUCGUAUUCCAUUUGUUGAUGGAAUCAGAGUAUUUUGGAGGUACUCGUGAGAAGUCAUACGCGUAUUGUCUUUGACUGAUAUUACAGUGAUUCUACCGUUGAUUCAAAAACAUAUCCUAUUUUGUAUUGGUGUCACAACGGCAAACGUAAUAUACCGGUCACAGUUCAGGUAUGGGACUGUCUGGGUUCUUCACUAAGGACGGACCUUGUUCGGGAACAUGUCGGUGAUGGAUCCGUAGGAGCGACCGACAUCAGUAGGUCCAGGUGUUUGGGUCUUAGUGGGUACAAGAGCUCUGCUCUUCUGGAACCUGUGUGGUUCUAGUCGAGACUGUCGACGUCGGAGUACCCCUCUUAAGAGCGUAAAAGUGUGAAAUUUCACCCCUGUGACUCCCGGGUUGGGAAGCUUGCGGUCACGUGUGAUGCCAAUACCUCCCUUGUUCGUCUUUGAUUAUACUAUUUAUUUUACACAUCUCCAGCAAAAUAUGUUCCAGUGAUUGUUACCUUGUUUAUCCUUUGGAUUCAGUUCGUUUGUUGAUCUACAACAUUUUACCAUUGCUUUUGUUGAAUAAUGAAGUAUCUGCUUGCUGAGUAUGAUUUAUCGUACUCACCCUUGUCUCCUCCGUCUUUUUAGAUGCAGCCGAUGUAACUUAAGUAUGCCCAGAAGAUGUCAUCCAAUAUUAGGUUGGACCAGUGGGUAGGAAGUGACUAGAGAAUUUAAUGUAGUUUGCCUAUUUGUAAAUGUAAAGAAAUUUGUAAACCAAAUAUAUGAGAUUUUGUGAUCCACUGCUGGUUUAUGCCUGCUUUAUCAUGCCUUGCGUGACAAUAGGCCUCUGGUCUAUAGGCGCGCGGCGGCUGUCUCGCCUAGGCCCGGUCUCGGGGCAUGACAGUUAAAGUGAUAUCAGAGCUCUAGGUUUUUAGGUUGCACUGGGAUAAAGGGGUAGAUCGUCGAAUAUAUUUGUGUUGUGUGACAGCUAUGAAGAUUUUAUUUUCAUAUCUUGUCUCAACUAGUUUGUGUGUUGGUACUCAUGAAUAGUUUCAACAGAUAUCCAGGCAAAUAAAAAGAAUAGUGUACACAUUAUUGAUGAAAUUUGAGGAUGCAUGGAAAUAAAUAGACAUCUUGUUAGAUUAAUACAUGACUUAAUAUUUGUGUAGAUUUUCUUGUUUAAGACAACCGGUAAUAAUGUUCUAGUAAUGGGACAAUUGCUAUACCACUAUCUAUCCUUUUUGUUAAUGAAUUUACCAAAUAAAAUGUUUAGUGUUGCCAACUUAUGUUAUAGCAGAUAUAUCCAUGAAUUGUAGAAAGAUUGCAAAUCUUUUUUGCAUUAUUUUUAAUUAAUUAUUGAGCAUGCAUCAAAUAAACUGUUCCAAAUAUGAUGGGAUGGAAUUUGAUCACUAAAAAAACAUAGAUGUUAGUGUUGAAUUUCGGGGACGAAAUUCUUAUAAGGUGGGAAGGAUGUAAUAACCCAUAUUUUUGGGUUAUUGAUUUAAGUUAAGAUAAGUAAAUUUUUAUUAUUUUGUUAACAUAAAUAAUUGAGCGAAGAAGACAUGCUAGAUUAUUGUUGCAAGUAAUUAAAUAGAACUGUAAUUUUUGCAUGCGUAAAAUAUUAGAUGGAAAUGGACCAGGUACAAAUGAUAGAUUGGUAGAUAUUUCCAAGUACUAGAAUUCCAAGUCAACUAGGUGCAUGCAUGUCAUGAUGAGAAUGCACACGUAUGUACUGUUCUUGCUAGCUAAGUAAAAAAUCUAUGUGUACGUGGAGGUUGGCGUGGCAUGCAUGUAGUCUCUUGGACAUUCUAGUCCUAUACGUGGGCUCUUCCUAUGGUGCCAGGUUUGAUUAGGCCUUUGCACUAGAUGUAGGGGCAGCAGCCAAAUCAUUUUUUACCUAGCUUCAAGGGCCAAGGGUCAAGCGGCAAGAGUCACUGCGGCUGAGAUAUUUUAGCUAGUGACCGACUGUCAGCUCCUAUAAAUAGAACGCUCCUGCUGCUGCUCAAAGCACAACUCCGAGAGAGAAUUAGAUACUAGAGGGGAGAGUAUGAGAGAGAAAGAGGGUAAGAGAGAUAAAGAAUGCAUGCAUGCGCAUACAUGUUUGAAGUGCUAUGGAGAGAGGUGUCGAGCCAUCUGUCUAAAAAAGAAUAUUAGCAUAUGUAUGGUUCAUCAGAUUUUUAUACGACGGGGUAUUACUUGCUGGCCGAAUAUUAUUCUAGAGGAGAAGUCUUAUUUUCUGAGGCAAGUAGCUACUUUACUAACUCUCAAAUCCGUUAUCUUCCUUUGAUUAUCUGAUUGUAUUGUUGCACCUUGAUCCUUAUUGAUCCUCUCUUGAUCCUUGAGAGAGGGAUGUGUUGUCCUCGUAUUCCAUUUGUUGAUGGAAUCAGAGUAUUUUGGAGGAACUCGUGAGAAGUCAUACGCGUAUUGUCUUUGAUUGAUAUUACUGUGAUUCUACUGUUGAUUCAAACACAUAUCCUAUUUUGUAUUGGUGUCACGACGGCAAACAUAUUGUACCGAUCACAUUUCAGUUAUGGGACUGUCUGAGUUCUCCGCUAAGGACGGACCUUGUUCAGGAACGUGUCGAUGAUGGAUCCGUAGGAGCGAUCGACAUCAGUAGGUCCAGGUGUUCGGGUCUUAGUGGGUACAAGAGCUCUGCUCUUCUGGAACCUGUGUGGUUCUAGUCGAGACUGUCGACGUCGGAGUACCCCUCUUAAGAGCGUAAAAGUGUGAAAUUUCACCCCUGUGACUCCCGGGUUGGAAAGCUUGCGGUCAUGUUUGAUGCCAAUAAUUUCCUUGUUCAUUUCGUCUGUUGAUCUACACCAUCAUACCAUCGCUCCUUGUUGAAUAGUGAAGUAUCUGCUUGCUGAGUAUGAUUUGUCGUACUCACCCUUGCUUCCUUAUUUUUUUUAGAUGCGAACGAUGUAACUUAAGUAUGUUCAGAAGAUGUCUUCAUCCAAGACUAGGCUUGACCAGCGGGUGGGAAGCGACUAGAGAAUAUGAUGUCUUUACUCAACUAUUUGUAGAUGUCAAGGAAUUUGUAUAGCAAAUAUAUUAGCUUUUGUGAUCCACUUCUGGUCUAUGCCUGCUUUAUCAUGCCUUGCGUGACUAUAGGCCUCUGGUCUAUAGGCUCGCGGCGGCUGUCUCGCCUAGGCCCGGUCUCGGGGCAUGACAAUUAAAGUGCAUAUUUUGUAGAACGUAAUGUAUCGGUCAAAGUUCAGGUAUGGGACUGUCUGAGUUCUCCGCUAAGGACGGACCUUGUUCAGGAACGUGUCGGUGAUGGAUCCGUAGGAGCGAUCGACAUCAGUAGGUCCAGGUGCAACAAUAAAAUCAGAUAAUCAAAGGAAGAUAACGGAUUUGAGAGUUAGUAAAGUAGCUACUUGCCUCAGAAAAUAAGACUUCUCCUCUAGAAUAAUAUUCGGCCAGCAAGUAAUAC
rnacentral:lncRNA from 1 species